rnacentral:rRNA from 1 species
UGAUGGAAAGUUGAAAAGAACUUUGAAGAGAGGGUUCAAGAGUACGUGAAACCGCCACGGGAAAAAACGGAUGGGACCUCGAAGGUACAGUCGCGGGGAUUCAACCGAUCGAGUCGGGCGGACUCUCGCUGUCGACCGCAAGGCGACACGGGCGUUCGGCUUCGAUUCCGAACGGUGCACUUCCUCGCGGCCGAGCGCUGCGACCGAUCGACCGGCUGUCAAUGGGCCGGGCGGGAGCCUGUCGGACGGACUUGUCCCCCGGCAGACCGCUCGUCUCCGGCAGACCGGACGAUCGUUUCCGAAAGGUAGAGUGCCCGCGCACGGCGCGUCGGUCACGAACUCCGACGGCGGCACUACGCUCUGCAGCGAGUAGAUCGGUGACCCAUCCGACCCGUCUUGAAACACGGACCAAGGAGUCUAACAUGUGCGCAAGUGAUUGGGUGUCGUGAGACCCAAACGCGCAAUGAAAGUGAAGGCCGGGACAGCCCGGUCGAGGGGUGAUCGCGUUGCCUUUCGAGGGAGCGCGCGCAACCCCGGGACGCGCCGCACGCAUCGCCGUGGGCUCGUACCCAGAGCGUACACGUUGGGACCCGAAAGAUGGUGAACUAUGCCUGGCCAGGACGAAGUCAGAGGAAACUCUGAUGGAGGUCCGUAGCGAUUUUGACGUGCAAAUCAAUCGUCCGAGCUGGGUAUAGGGGCGAAAGACUAAUCGAACCAUCUAGUAGCUGGAUCCAUCCGAAGUUUCCCUCAGGAUAGCUGGCGCUCGCANGACCGAGUUUCAUCCGGUAAAGCGAAUGAUUAGAGGCCUUGGGGCCGAAACGANCUCAACCUAUUCUCAAACUUUAAAUGGGUGAGAAGUCGGGCUUGCUCGACUGAAGCACCGACCNUNGAAUCNAGAGUGCCAAGUGGGCCACUUUUGGUAAGCAGAACUGGCGCUGUGGGAUGAACCAAACGCAGAGUUAAGGUGCCCGAGAGAACGCUCAUCAGAUCCCAUGAAAGGUGUUGGUUGCUAUAGACAGCAGGACGGUGGCCAUGGAAGUCGGAA